ACUCCUACGGGAGGCAGCAGUGGGGAAUAUUGGACACUGGGCGCAAGCCUGAUCCAGCCAUGCCGCGUGAGUGAUGAAGGCCCUAGGGUUGUAAAGCUCUUUCACCGGUGAAGAUAAUGACGGUAACCGGAGAAGAAGCCCCGGCUAACUUCGUGCCAGCAGCCGCGGUAAUACGAAGGGGGCUAGCGUUGUUCGGAUUUACUGGGCGUAAAGCGCACGUAGGCGGACUAUUAAGUCAGGGGUGAAAUCCCGGGGCUCAACCCCGGAACUGCCUUUGAUACUGGUAGUCUUGAGUUCGAGAGAGGUGAGUGGAAUUCCGAGUGUAGAGGUGAAAUUCGUAGAUAUUCGGAGGAACACCAGUGGCGAAGGCGGCUCACUGGCUCGAUACUGACGCUGAGGUGCGAAAGCGUGGGGAGCAAACAGGAUUAGAUACCCCAGUAGUCCCAUGAU
rnacentral:rRNA from 1 species